AUGAACGCUGGCGGCGUGCCUCAUACAUGCAAGUCGAACGCAACUUCUUUAUCCCCGAGUGCUUGCACUCACCGAUAAAGAGUUGAGUGGCGAACGGGUGAGUAACACGUGGGCAACCUGCCCACAAGAGGGGGAUAACACUUGGAAACAGGUGCUAAUACCGCAUAACCAUAGUUACCGCAUGGUAACUAUGUAAAAGGUGGCUAUACUACCGCUUUUGGAUGGGCCCGCGGCGCAUUAGCUAGUUGGUAGGGUAAAGGCUUACCAAGGCAAUGAUGCGUAGCCGAAUUGAGAGGUUGAUCGGCCACAUUGGGACUGAGACACGGCCCAAACUCCUACGGGAGGCAGCAGUAGGGAAUCUUCCACAAUGGGCGAAAGCCUGAUGGAGCAACGCCGCGUGGGUGAAGAAGGUCUUCGGAUCGUAAAACCCUGUUGUUAGAGAAGAAAGUGCGUGAGAGUAACUGUUCACGUUUCGACGGUAUCUAACCAGAAAGCCACGGCUAACUACGUG
rnacentral:rRNA from 1 species